UGGGGAAUAUUGCACAAUGGGGGAAACCCUGAUGCAGCGACGCCGCGUGAGCGAAGAAGGCUUUCGAGUCGUAAAGCUCUGUCCUAUGAGAAGAUAAUGACGGUAUCAUAGGAGGAAGCCCUGGCUAAAUACGUGCCAGCAGCCGCGGUAAUACGUAUGGGGCGAGCGUUGUCCGGAAUUAUUGGGCGUAAAGGGUACGUAGGUGGUUUUUUAAGUCAGGUGUCAAAGCGUGGAGCUUAACUCCAUUAAGCACUUGAAACUGAAAGACUUGAGUGAAGGAGAGGAAAGUGGAAUUCCUAGUGUGGCGGUGAAAUGCGUAGAUAUUAGGAGGAAUACCGGUGGCGAAGGCGACUUUCUGGACUUUUACUGACGCUCAGGUACGAAAACGUGGGGAGCAAACAGG
rnacentral:rRNA from 1 species